GACCACUGUAGUUGUGUUUCUGGAGCUCUAUACACUUACAGCACAUCUGUAUGCUUCAAGGGAAUCUAGUCUUAAAGGACAGAGAAGAUUUUCAUUUGAUUUUUAUUAUAAUUCUGCUUUCAUUUGACCAUAAAAAUCCAAGAGGUGUAAAUGGAAGUCUUACAGGUAUGAUCAUACACAGAAAACUGCAUGUUUGAAAGUAUGGGUGAGGUUUCUCGGGUCUAGAAUCAAAGGGUUAACCUUGCUUUUUCUUCUCUCCCUCCCCUCCUCAGAGAUAAAAGACACCAAACUUCCUACCUCUUGUUGCAAAACACCCUACAUGUCUGUUGGGUAACUCAGCUCUUACUGCUUGGAAGGGGGUAAUUUAAUAUCAGCUUUACCUCGUUAUUACUCUGAUUGCUUCAAGUCAGUGGUACUGCCUCAAACUGGUUCAAAAGGAAGAAAUGGGCUCAACAAUUCCUAAUCUGAUGAGAGCAAAACCAGCCUGACAAAAUGACAACCAAGGGCUAGGAGCUGGCCUCUUCCUGAGGUUCAUUUCAAAAGUGGAGUAGACCCAAAGUAACAUGUCCUUAACUUCAAAUUUCUCAGGCAGAGGGAAAAAAGAAGCUCAGCCUGCUUUUUCCACAGGUCCCAAGUUAGCCCAGGCCUGGAGAAUGGCAAAAUCAUCCCAAACUAUCCCUGAGCAUGUGGGGCACAUGGCACAUAUUAGGAGAGCUUCCAUCCGGGCUGGUGGUGCAGCCACCUCACCCUUGGGCACAGAGCAGGAUUUCAGCCCCCCAAGGGAGGUUGGCCCCACCUGCCCAGCACAGCCUGCCAGUAACACCAAAUCCACAGCAAACUACCCAACCCUGUGGCAAAUUUCGGAUUUCCCUGCACAUUUAAUGCAUGGGGUGGGUGAGCGUGCAGAUAACAGGCAUUAUUCUGAGCUUGGUAAUAAGGAGAAAGCAAGGAAAAGGGGAAAAAAAAAAGUGUUUGGAAACAGUCUAAAAUACUUGUAUGAACUUAGUUUUGUGUGCCCUACAUUUUGGCUGGAAUCUCUUCACCUUUCUGGAGGGCCUAUGUCAGUAAGAAAUUUUUUGAAAGGGCAGAGGGCUAUUUAAAAUCCUGUGUCCAAAUCUUGUGCUGUAAUCUCCUGAAAAGUCAUGUUUAUCCUUUCCUUCAGAGCAGAUGCCUAAUGACACAGAAUAACAUUUCACAGUCUGACAUAAGAAUAGAUUAGGCUGCCCUGUAAAGCACUGGAUUAAAAAAAAAAAGUACAAGCUGAUUGACUCAUUCAUGGCCUGUGGCCAUACAAAUGCUUGCCAAGUUGCUUCUAGACAAAGUUGUGGCACCUUCACCACAGAAACAAAGGGUGGUGUGGCAAGCAGAGCUUUCCUUCAGGACUCUUGUGAAACAAACACGUACCCGUGAAAAUGCAUAUGCAAAAGCAGUGUUUGUAAGGAGCUAUGUUAUUACACUUCCGUAAUCACAUAUUCCUCUCCAUAUGACCAAUUUCUAUGAAACUGUAGAGUAAUUCAGCACUAAAAUAAGUGCUUUUCCACAAAUUGCUAAAACUACACGUACUAUACCCAAACCAUCGUGGAGUCUGGGCUUGCUUUUGUGAAAAUAUCUUGAAUUUAUCUAAUUUUAAGGAGUUCCUUGCACUCCGUUGCUGUGACCAUGCCACGACUUCAUGCUGGUUAUGCUAUCCGUGCCAUAAAACAGCCACAGUAAUCCCUGAACCUGCAAAUACGUGUGCUGGAAAGGGAAUUACAGCUCUGCCCUCACAGGCUUACCCAGGCCAGCUUCGAGCUAGCUACCUGAGGUACCGACAGCAGGGAAACCAGCCUCCGGGAAACAUCUCAUUGCCUGUUCUGGCCCCAAAGCCCGUCUUGCUGCAGCUUCGUGCAGCUGUGCUUCAGCCGCUGGACUGCACAACCACAUCUGCCAGCCGUGUAGGGCACAGAUAGGGUAAUGCCACUACCCUCACAGGAGGGUAAAACGAUGAGCCAGGACUUAAACCCAAGGCUUUUUCAUUAAACCAACCCCUGGCUUCGCAACAGUCUGGUUCCUUGUCCUUUCAGUAGUUUGAAUGUAGUGACUGGAAAUGUAAAUCCAACCAAUUCUGAAAAUUCGUGCAGUUGUAGCAGUCAGUGGUCACUGAUGUUAUCUGCACUGUGGGGAAAUACGCCGAGAAUGUCUUGUGGCCAAUAUUUUUCCUAUUUGAUGACCACAUGAUUAUUUUUGGUUAGCUGCUACUAUUUCCUUCUUGAGUCAUUCCUGCAAGGCACUGAAACACUGCAGCCAGCAGUGACUGUGAAGAUCUCUAAAUUAGAUUUGCAAACCCUCAUCGAGAGCAUCCUCUGCUGAAAGCGCCUGCAUCCUGCGUUUUGGCACUGCGAAUGCUCCCCGUGUUUGGCAUCUCGUUCAGCAUCGCUGAGGCUGGAAGAGCAGUGGGAGAAAGCUGUCAGGAAGGAAAGGGAAAGGAGGGAAGAAACGCCAGCCUUGUGCACAGGGGGGAGAUGAUCUGCUCCUGGCCGGGUGGAGCUUGGCGCUCCCACCCAUCCCCAGCAGCUGUCAGAUCGUUUUAUGGGGCCAUCUUUGUAGCAUCCGCGUGAGUACGGUGGGGUUGCCUGGCUCUUCUGAGCACACUCUCUGCUUCUGACUUGGUCAUGUCCUGAGCAGGCUGUUGCAAAACCCCGCAGACUCCCCAAAAUGACUCAUGUCUGCAGGCAUGGAUGUCUGCACAGCGGCGUGGAGCUGCGCAGGAAGCCUGGGGGCCUGCCGCCUGGCACCACGCAGCAGCUUGCUCGCUAAAAGGAGCAUCUCAGUGGAGCAGCCAGGGGCUAGGGGCUCUGCUGGCCAGCUUCCACGUGACGUUUAAUGGUUUCACCAUGAUCCCACAGCACCGCAGGGGCUGCCCCUGUGAAAUAAGUCCCCACUCGCACCUGCAAGUAAUUCCCCCCAGGGAUGUGUGGUGCUGGAGCGUGGUCUGCCCUGUACCCCCAGCUCCCCGGACUUUGUGGCAUAUUCUGAGCUGGCUGGUUUGAGACCCACGGUGUGCAAGACUUGUCCCGCACACAACAUCCUACCCCGGGAGAAGUAGCUCAUACAUUACUCAUACAUAAUUUCAAAACUGUGGGUAAACUGGAUGGUUUCUUGCUCCCGUAGACAUAUGACUUCAUCCUGUCUGUCUUGCCGACUUGCUACACGAGCGCUGCCAGAUCUGCAUGACGCUUCUGUGUGCUCCAGCGGCAGCUACGCGCUGCCUUAUCGCCAGCUGAGCACGAAUUCCUGCCUUAUCACCUGCUAAGCUGAAGGAUCAGUGCAUGCUGAAGUGGAGGAGCUGUGUGGGAUCUCAUGUUUGGUAUCUGCCGGUACAGCUCUAAUGCCUCCUUUUGAUAAGAUCACCCCGGCCUGCACAACUCUGAAGUGCUCUGUGACUUGGGACAGAGGCAAACCCAUCGGUGGGCUAUCCUGCCACUCGACACUGCACAUACAGUUCAGGUUGCAUUAUGGAGACAGCCCUACACAGCACAAUGAAGCUGAUCUUGUGUAGAACAACACAUCUGGACGCAGAGCUGUAUUUCCCCAUCACUGCAUAUAAACUGCCAGUUUUGCAAGACGCCAUUCAUGACCACUAAUCUCAAGACAUAAGAACCAACUUCUUUUACUGUUUUCUGAAGCAAAGACAUCCAUCGACAGUUCACUAAAUAUACUUCUGCUAAAUGGCUGGGAGCCAUAGCCUGUAAAGCUCGAAGGUGUACAACCAGCUCCUGAACUUUCCUUACCGUUCUCCCUACCACCGCCAUCUUCGCUAUCCAUUAACCCGGCUCAUUACUGAAAGCUGAAAACACAAAAGAAGUAAACAUCAGUUAACGAGGUUUGCACCUGGGGGUGGUAAACAAAACUGCUCUGCUCUUGAAGGGAAACUGGCUGCUGGGUGAGAGCAAAUCUCAGCCCAGAGAGGACAGGUCUGCCCAGGGUAGGGAGUGUGAGCAGGGAAUAGGAAGAAUAUUUUCAGCUUCAGGAUUUGAGGCUUAGCUAGGGAAUGCUGAGGGGAAACAUCUUUUCCCAAAUUUGUUCUUCCAAUUAGAAAUUGCACGUUUGUCUACUCCUUGUUUUCAUCAUAGUGAAGUAGAAUUUGAUACUAAUCUGAUUCCUUACUCCUGCAGUUUGGGACAUUUCAGAUCCAAGCUUUUGUUAAACGUUCAUCCCGGGUUUUUGCCUCAAGCUGAAAGAAUCGAGACUUUGUCUUCAACUGAGUGAAUUGAGACUUUGUCUGAAGUGCAGCAACAUGGCGCACGCUAAACAAAACAAGCCUUUGUGUACCAUUGUUAUCAAAACAUUAUAACACCAGGAAACAGCUACACAUGGACUUUCCUUUGCUACUUAACUGCUCCUAUAGAUCUGCUGAGGCUCAACUCAUUUUACUUUUCAAGCCUCCCGCAGUAGCCAAAUGCUUUGGAAAGGAAAGAAACCGCCCAUAAAACCUUUUUUUUUUCUUUACAAACUAGCAGUGCACGUAUUAAAGGAGCGUGUUUCGCCUUACCGUUUCCUUCAGUUUCAUCCACGGGGCUGUGGAUUUGCCUUGCCCUGGGGAGCAUCGUGGGCAGGAGCCCCCCGGUGAAGCGGCCCCUCUGCGGUGCCAGCCUGAGGAGCUGCUCGGUGGAAGAAGCGUGCUGCAAGGUUUGGUUUCUGCCGUGGAGCCUGCUCUCUCUCUCGGUGCUUUCCCCGGUGGUCUGAAAGAAAAGCGAGCUCUCUAGGAGCAGACCUCCCCGGGCACGCACCGAGCACUGGGUUUCCUUCUUCUGCUCUUCUGGCGCUCGGGUGGUGUGAAGAUGGAUGCCACUGAAGCCAGUGGAGCUAAACCAACCCCACUCAAAGGAGAAUCGGCCCGUAGGUCUACAAAACAUCUAUCCCCAUGACUUCACAGGCUUUUUAUUGCUGCAAAUACAUAAAUCUUUGUAUCAACCGACUUCAAAGAUCAUAAAGCCCUAAUUGUGUGUGCAGCCUACCAGGAAUGGAGUGCUCUGCUGAUGCAUAAAACACGCAUAGAUAGUACACAAAUACACGCAGCCCAGGCUUAAAUUUAGCCUCAACCACACAAAAGAUAUCUUUAUAACUAAGAAUGAUGGGAAGAAAGAUCCCAUUCCAGAACAGACGAACAACUCAUUUUUUCA